CUCUCAAUUGUCAAUUAUGAGAGCUCUCAUUACAAAAGAAGAUUAGGAAGGUAUCAACUUCCAAUUUCAAACUUCCCGCGAUUUCUUUCUCUUUUCACCCCCAUCAAAUCUUUAAUCAAAUUCGGUCCUCAUUUGAUUCAAAUAAUCUCAAUACAUUGUUAUUAAUCAAUAAUCAUUCCAGAGUUAUUCGCUGUCGCUAUGGGGUGGAUUAUUGGAGCCAGUUGUGCUUUCCCAAACUCGUAUUCAAGUUAUAUGAUGGUAAGUUCAAAUUUAUAGCUUCUUUUAACUAUUUAUAGUCAUUCCUCUUCUAUAAUGAAAAACAAUUCAGAAUAUAACCUCUUACAGCUCAGCAUAAAUUUUAAUGUGGGUUUGCCCAUCCCCCUGUCUUUUACCUCUAACUAGGUUGUGCUGAUCUAAUUCCAUAAUCAUAUCCCAACAGCUACCGCGAUAGUCAUGGGCUACCAAAUCGUACGGACACCUAAUGGAAUCUCUCUUAGGACCAUAUACAAGUAUGUGGAAGCUCUUUUAGCCUACUUGCACUCUUUUGGCGAAUUUGGUCUUAAUUUCUCUAUUAAAAGUGGACAUUCUAUUAAAUGAUUCCAGAUUAAGCUAGAAAAUGAUAGUGAUAAUAUCCACCUUAUCUCAAAGAUUUUGCUAACUCUUCCCUCGGUAAUUAGUUUAUAGUUGCACCACUUUAUAUUAAAAGUUUGUGUAGGAUAUAUUGGCAAAAUAUUCAGUGUUCCAUUAAGUGAGUUCUAACCAGACAAUAAUAGUUCUGCACCAUCUUAAAUGUAAUGUGUGGCUGGACCAUAUUAUUGAUUAAUGGCUAGGAUUUUGGAGAUCACAGCUAUAGUGGUGACAAAAGUACUUCCAAAUUAUUAGCAAUUCUAUUCUUGUUCACCAUAAGCUUAAGCGACUAGAUUGUAUAAGAACAGAAACAUACUAGGGCUUCAACUUAAAAAAAUUUAGCAAACAAAGCUGAUGAGUAAUUGAGUCAUAAUGGGUAGGUUAACAUUGUAUGAGAAUUGUCAUGUUCUUAGAGUCAAUUGUUUUGAUAACCGAAUAUUUCAGUCCAUAAGGGACCAUCCAUAUUAGGAAGAACCAAAUUAUCAAUAUGAGAGGUGGUAGUGAAAAGAUUACUAGAUGAGGGAAGUCUGGUGAUGGGAGAGUUUGGAGUUAUCUUGCAAGUUGGUCGGAUGAGCACAAGUCUAGGUGUUCUGUGGGAAUAAAACGUCCACUACACUAAACCGAAAUCUUUUUCAUUACAUUUAGAAUCAGGAUAUGUACUCAGGGAAUUGCAAGUUGUAGGCUUUGAAUGGAUGAUGAUUCAUAGGGUUAGGAUGCUUGUAUGUCUACAUCCUCUUGAAUACAGUUCCUCUAGGGUAUGGUUAACGAUAAAUGUUAUGAUUUAUGUAAAGUUGAAACUCUGUAGGUAAGGGAUACAUCUACACUGCUGAGAUCAACAAAAAUGGCAAAUGAUGAUGUUGUAGUUUGCUCUCCUCUAUCAACAAUGACAUGAAGGGUGCAAUCUGAUUGGUUGCUCCAAAGCUAUCAGUGGUCCAUUUACAUGAAAAGCAAGGUAAUCGGCUUAAAUCAUGUGAUUAAUUAUGCUUCUUCCAUAAUGACUGCAAAGUGCUAUCUGAUGCUUAAAUUAUCCUUCUAUUUCAGCCAAUCAGAUCUCAUUUUUCAAGCUUAAGAUGAGGUCAGGGAAUUAAGAUCAUAAUUGUUCCAUCAUUAUCUGUGAUUAUACUCACAGAAGAUUUGGGUUGACAAUUAAUUUUUGAUGCUAAAUUUGGAUAGACAAAUAUGAGUUGAUGUGGGGCAUGGAUUCUUCUUGCACCUCUAAAUUGUGAAGUCACUCUCAUAAUAAAAGUGCUGAAAUAGGCAUUCUAUUGUGUCCUUUAAACUUUAAAGUCCUGUUCAUUCUUCUUGGAAAAAAGCUUGAGAGUAGACCUUCAACCUUUUAGCCCUCCCCUGCUUUUUUAUCUUUUGUUUUUCCUCUCCCUUUUCCAUGUUACAAGAAUUAUUCUCCUCGGGAACGUAUGUAAUUUGUGAUGGCUACGUAGUCCAUGUCUUUCCUAUAUGGCUUAAACAAUCAAGUUGUUGCAAUGCAUGUUCAGGAUUCAUUGCUGCUGCUGUGUGCCUGGAUUCUGAUUCGCCUGAAAUUUACACUUCUUUUGUUGCAGGUGGGAUGACGAUUUGGGACUUGAGUUUUACCUGCUAGAAACCUUGAGCUGAUCAUAGGCCAAGAUGCAUUCAAGUAGAGACGGCCACAGGCUGUAUUCUAUUCACUUUGUACUAUUUGCUGCUGGAUAAUUUUGACAGACCUAAUCCAAAUUGGGCUGAGAUGAUCAGUUGUUACUGGCAGGAAACGAGGUUUUCACUCAGAUAACAACAGUUCAUGAAUGUUAUAGGUUAUAGUACAACUUCACCAUCAUCUUUUGCCCAUGUGUUUGGUAAUUUGUACAUUAUAAUUGCUGUCAAACAAUGAAUGAUUGAAAUGUUUUCAGUCAUUUGAUGCUCUGCUGCAAGCGCGCUAAAUUUACAGGCUGAUGACCUAGGUGCAGUUUUCUGUGAUCCUUCGGAACUAAUGGUUGUUAUUCCUACGUUGAUAUCUAUUCAUCCUUGUUAUACCACAUGCUUUGUUCUGACAUUGGCAGUUCGCCUUAUCUUAACUCAAAAGAAUAUAAAUUCUUGUUUUUCAUGU